rfam:Anaerosporobacter mobilis DSM 15930 genome assembly, contig: EJ17DRAFT_scaffold00011.11
UAGCGAAACAUCUAUAGUACUUCUUAGUGUGUACUAGAUAAUCAAGGAAGGCGAGGCAUGGACGCCGAGCUAGCCGAAGCUGAGGCAGGAUGCCGAAUCGAAGGCGUUUCCGCAUUGUUCGAUACCUUUCGCUACACACUUAGAAGUACUUAGGUGUGUAGCGU